rnacentral:rRNA from 1 species
CGUAUGCAACCUACCCAUAACUGGAGGAUAGCCCGAAGAAAUUCGGAUUAAUACUCCAUAGUAUAGUGAAGAGGCAUCUCUUUAUUAUUAAAACUCCGGUGGGUUAUGGAUGGGCAUGCGUUGCAUUAGCUAGUUGGUGAGGUAAUGGCUCACCAAGGCUACGAUGCAUAGGGGAUCUGAGAGGAUUAUCCCCCACACUGGUACUGAGACACGGACCAG